rnacentral:tRNA from 1 species
GGGGUGGUGGCUCAGUGGUAGAACACUCGCCUGGCAUGCAUGAGGCCCUGGGCUCGACCCUCAGCACCCCA